rnacentral:rRNA from 1 species
GCCAGCAGCUAUAGCACCCUGCAACUCACAACUGGCAACCCACUGAAGCUACAGUAAGCAGGUGUGAGCCUGGGCAGUACCUGGAUGGGAGACCUCCUGGGAAAAAUAAGGUGGCUGCUGGAA